rnacentral:rRNA from 1 species
GAUGAACGCUAGCUACAGGCUUAACACAUGCAAGUCGAGGGGCAGCAUGAUUGAAGCUUGCUUCAAUCGAUGGCGACCGGCGCACGGGUGAGUAACACGUAUCCAACCUGCCGAUAACUCGGGGAUAGCCUUUCGAAAGAAAGAUUAAUACCCGAUAGUAUAGUAUUUCCGCAUGGUUUCACUAUUAAAGAACUUCGGUUAUCGAUGGGGAUGCGUUCCAUUAGAUAGUUGGCGGGGUAACGGCACACCAAGUCAACGAUGGAUAGGGGUUAGGAGAGGAAGGUCCCCCACAAUGGAACUGAGACACGGUCCACACUCCGACGGGAGGCAGCAGUGAGGAACAUUGGUCAAUGGACGCGAGUCUGACCCAGCCAAGUAGCGUGAAGGAGGCCUGCCCUAUGGGUUGUCAACUUCUUUUAUACGGGAAUAAAGUGGAGUAUGCAUACUCCUUUGUAGGUACCGUAUGAAUAAGGAACGGCUAACUCCGUG